GAUGAAGAACGUAGCGAAAUGCGAUAAGUAUGUGAAUUGCAGAAUUCAGUGAAUCAUUGAAUCUUUGAACGCACAUUGCGCCCCUUGGUAUUCCGAGGGGCAUGCCUGUUCGAGCGUCAUUAUAACCCCUCAAGCUCAGCUUGGUGUUGGGGCCUGCUGCACUGGCAGCCCUUAAAAUCAGUGGCGGCGCCAUCUGGCUCUAAGCGUAGUAAUUCUUCUCGCUAUGGAGUCCUGGUGGAUGCUUGCCAUCAACCCCCAAUUUUUCUAUGGUUGAACUCGGAUCAGGUAGGGAUACCCGCUGAACUUAAGCAUAUCAAUAAGCGGAGGA
rnacentral:misc_RNA from 1 species